rnacentral:lncRNA from 1 species
CAAAGUCCUGCACCAAAGCCUGCACUGAAAUCCUGCACCAAAGCCCUGCACCAAAGCCCUGCACCAAAGUCCUGCAUCCUAAGACCCGCACCAAAAUCCUGCACCCGAAGUCCUGCAUCCUAAGCCCUGCACCAAAGUCCUGCACCAAAGUCCUGCACCAAAGUCCUGCACACAAAGUCCUGCAUCCUAAGACCCACAUCGAAAUCCUGACCUGCACCGAAAUCCUGCACCAAAGCCCUGCACCGAAAUCCUGCACCGAAAUCCUGCACCAAAGUCCUGCACCAAAAUCCUGCACCCGAAGUCCUGCAUCCUAAGCCCUGCAACGAAACCCUGCACCAAAGCCCUGCAUCCAAAGCCCUGCACCGAAAUCAUGCACCAAAGUCCUGUACACAAAGUAUUGCACCAAAGUCCUGCGCCAAAGUCCUGCACCAAAGUCCUGCACACAAAGUCCUGCACCGAAAUCCUGCACCAAAGUCCUGCAUCCUAAGACCUGCAUAGAAAUCAUGCACCAAAGUCCUGCACACAAAGACCUGCACCGAAAUCCUGCACCAAAAUCCUGCAUCCUAAGACCUGCAUAGAAAUCAUGCACCAAAGUCCUGCACACAAAGUAUUGCACCAAAGCCCUGCGCCAAAGUCCUGCACACAAAGUCCUGCACCAAAAUUCUGCAUCCAAAGUCCUGCACCAAAGUCCUGCACACAAAUCCUGCACCGAAGUCCUGCACCACAGUCCUGCACCCAAAGCCCCAUACUCAGUUCUGCACCAAAGUGCUGCAGCCAAAAUCCUGCAACCAAAGCCCUGCAGCAAAAUCCCACACCCAAAUCCUGCGCCAAAGUCCUGCACCCAAAACCAUGCAUCAAAGUCCUGCACCAAAGUCCUGCACACGAAGUCCUGCACCAAAUUCCUGCACCGAAAUCCUGCACCGAAGUCCUGCACCACAGUCCUGCACCCAAAGCCCCAUACUCAGUUCUGUACCAAAGUGCUGCAGCCAAAAUCCUGCAACCAAAGCCCUGCAGCAAAAUCCCACACCCAAAAUCCUGCAACCAAAGCCCUGCAGCAAAAUCCCUGCAUCAAAAUCCUGCAACCAAAGUCCUACACCCAAAACCCUGCAGCCAAAAUCCCACACCCGAAGUGCUGCAUCCAAAGCCCUGCAGCAAAAUCCCACACCCAACGUCCUGCACCAAAGGGCCGCAUUCAAAGCCCUGUGCAAAAAUCAGGUGCCAAAGCCCUGCACCAAAGUCCUGCACCGAAGUCCUGCACCACAGUCCUGCACCCAAAGCCCCAUACUCAGUUCUGCACCAAAGUGCUGCAGCCAAAAUCCUGCAACCACAGCCCUGCAGCAAAAUCCCACACCCAAAAUCCUGCGCCAAAGUCCUGCACCCAAAACCCUGCAACCAAAGUCCUGCAACCAAAGCCCUGCAGCAAAAUCCCACGCCCAAAGUCCUGCACCAAAGGGCCGCAUUCAAAGCCCUGUGCCAAAAUCAGCUGCCAAAGCUCUGCAACAAAGUCCUGCACUGAAGUCCUGCACCAAAGUCGUGCACCCAAAGCCCCAUACUCAGUUCUGCACCAAAGUCCUGCACCCAAAACCCUGCAUCAAAAUCUUGCAACCAAAGCCCUGCGUCCAAACCCCUGCAGCAAAGUCCUGCAUCCAAAAUCCUGCAUCCAAAGCCCUGCAGCAAAAUCCCACACCCAAAGUCCUGCACCAAAGUCCUGCAACCAAAGCCCUGCAUCCAAACCCCUGCAGCAAAGUCCCACACCCAAAAACCCUGCAUCAAAAUCCUGCAACCAAAGCCCUGCGUCCAAAGCCAUGCAGCAAAAUCCCACACCCAAAGUCUUGCACCAAAGCCCUGCACCCAAAAUCCUGCACCCAAACUCUGCACCCAAAGCCCUGCACCGAACAUCCUGCAACCAAAGCCAUGCAGGAAAACCCCACAGCCAAAGUCCUGCACCAAACCAUGCAGCAAAGCUGCAGCAAAGCCCUACACCCCCAAUGCUGCACCCAAAGCACUGCACCCAAAGCCCUGCACCGAACAUCCUGCAACCAAAGCCAUGCACUGAACAUCCUGCAACCAAAGGCAUGCAGGGAAACCCCACAGCCAAAGUCCUGCACCAAACCAUGCAGCAAAGCCCUACACCCCCAAUCCUGCACCAAACAUCCUGCAACCAAAGGCAUGCAGGGAAACCCCACAGCCAAAGUCCUGCACCAAACCAUGCAACAAAGCCCUACACCCCCAAUCCUGCACCCAAAGCCCUGCACCGAACAUCCUGCAACCAAAGCCAUGCAGGAAACCCAAAGCCAAAGUCCUGCACCAAACCACACAGCAAAGCCCUACACCCCCAAUCCUGCACCCCUCAACGCUGCAUCCAAAGCCCUGCACCGAACAUCCUGCAACCAAAGCCAUGCAGGAAAAUCCCACAGCCAAAGUCCUGCACCAAACUAUGCAGCAAAGCUGCAGCAAAGCCCUGCAUCCCCAAUCCUGCACCCUCAACGCUGGAUCCAAAGCCCUGCACCGAACAUCCUGCAACCAAAGCCAUGCAGGAAACCCCCACAGCCGAAGUCCUGCACCAAACCAUGCAGCAAAGCCCUACAACCCCAAUACUGCACCCAAAGCGCUGCACCCUCAAUCCUGCACCCCAAAGCCAUGCAGGGAAACCCCACACCCAAAGUCCUGCACCAAACCAUGCAGCAAAGCCCUACACCCCCAAUCCUGCACCCUCAAAGCUGCAUCCAAAGCCCUGCACCGAACAUCCUGCAACCAAAGCCAUGCAGGGAAACCCCACAGCCAAAGUCCUGCACCAAACCAUGCAGCAAAGCCCUACACCCCCAAUCCUGCACCCUCAAUGCUGCACCCAAAGCCCUGCACUGAACAUCCUGCAACCAAAGCCAUGCAGGGAAACCCCACAGCCAAAGUCCUGCACCAAACCAUGCAACAAAGCCCUACACCCCCAAUCCUGCACCCAAAGCCCUGCACCGAACAUCCUGCAACCAAAGCCAUGCAGGAAACCCCCACAGCCAAAUCCUGCACCAAACCAUGCAACAAAGCCCUACACCCCCAAUCCUGCACCCAAAGCCCUGCACCGAACAUCCUGCAACCAAAGCCAUGCAGGAAACCCCAAAGCCAAAGUCCUGCACCAAACCACACAGCAAAGCCCUACACCCCCAAUCUUGCACCCCCAAAGUGCUGCACCCAAAGCGCUGCACCUGCAGUCCUGCACCCAACCCCUGCACUCCAAAUCCUGCACCAAAGUUCCUCACCAAAGUCCUGCACCCAAAUCCUGCAACCAAACACGGCCUUGCGGCGCUGCGCCCCGAGCCCUUCACUGAGGCGCAUGGCUGCACUGCUGCACAGCUGUGGCACCGCACCCCAUGCACGGCAGCACCUGCAGCACCGCAGAACCCCCC